GGAAAGUUUCAAUGAUCAUUAGAAAUACAGGUGAUGGACAUUCAAGAAACAUCGUUCUCUUUUAAAACACAAUAUUCUGUUUUGUUUUUGUUUUUGUUUUUAAAGAUCCCUGUCUUUUUGUACAUUCCUUAAUAUCUAGUAUUUGUUCCAACACAAUGUUGGUAGCCAGAAGCCACCGACCUGAGGUUGGCAACUCUUAGAGAACGCAGCUUUCUUCUAUAGAACAGCAAGUUGCUACGGUUCAGCCAAAUUCUAUCUGUCUAAUAAAAGGCACAGAUCUCCCUCCGCGCCCCGGCUUGGGCAGGUAACUCACCAGUUCAGCUCCCUCUCCACCGCGCUCUGUGGAAACUGAAAGUGGCCACUGAGCGGGCGCUGUUCGCUAGUUCAUAGACUCUACUGCCGCUGCCGAGAAAUCACGUGGAUUCAAAGUGCCAGCCCCAGGGCGCGCGAGUAGCGUGCCCGGAACCCGCCGCGGCUUGGAGAUCGCAGCGGGACGUGCCUCUCUGACUACUGAGACUGGAGACGAUGUAGGAUGAAGGCAGGAGGAGCCACUGAGCAAAACUUCGUGGAGUUGGGUCCAGGGUCCAGUGGCGACAGCGGCUCAUCACCUGAGACCUGACCUGGACAAGCGCGGCCUCCAGGUGUGUCUCUGCUGGUCCCUGGGUGCAAGGGUUGCCUAGGCUACAGAAGAAAGCUUGGUGCAGGGAUAAGGGAUGGAAAGAGGUGGGCGGUAAGAAAAGGACUACAGGGCCAGCGUCAGCCCUGGAAAGUUCCUGUCUCUGUUCCAAGUUCUACAACCUGCCCUGCCUCUUGUCUUUGUCCCAGAACAGGAGGCCAGGCUCCUCCUGAGGAUGGUUUCUGUGACAUCCCACAGUGAAGCAACUUUCCCAGAAUGCUCUGGGGGAGGAAUGGGGAGACAGUGCAUUAGCACUGUAGGGCAGGGUCAUCAGCACACCCAUGACCCCCAAACCUCAGGCUCAAGUCCUCCUCUUAAGUGCUGGCUACAUCACCUUAGGCCAGUGGUUCUCAGCCUUCCUAAUGCUGGGACCCUUUAAUACUGCAGCCUCACGCUGUGCUGACCCCCAACCAUAACAUUAUUCUCGUUGCUACUUCAUAGCUGUAAUUUUGCUACUGUUACGAAUCAUAAUGAAAUCAUUUGACUUGGCAGAGGUUGGGUCCCCCAGAUUGAGAAACACCGCCCUAGACAAAAGUCUUGACUCUGAGUUUCAGUUCUGUCAUCUGUCCUGAGGACCAGAGAAGGAGCACCUUCCAAUUCCUUCAGAAGAAGUUAGAGCAGAUGUGCUGUGUGCCCAAAACUCUUAAGAAAUCCUUCUACGUUAGUCCCCUUCUUUGGAUCUCAAAUUCCUGUGACCUUCUAACCUCCUCCCUCCCGGGACCGAGUCGGAAAUCUAGAAAGUUCUUGACAGGCAAGAGUGUGUGUGGGGGGGAGUCAUUAUUAUUUUGACUGAUUACUUAUGUGUGACUCUUAGCUUUCCCAACCUUACCUGGCUCGCCUCUUACAAAUAGAUGCCUUGUUUUU
ensembl:lincRNA 9330175E14Rik RIKEN cDNA 9330175E14 gene